GGGGUGGAGCCUGGGCCACGGGGGUGGAGCUUGGGCCAUGAGGGCUCUGGGGGUGGAGCCUGGGCCAAGAGGGCUCUGGGGGUGGCAUGCCGACUCAGAAGCCCUGCUCUUGUUGCACCCAGCGGCAGUGUAACAGGCGCCAGAACUGGGCCAGGGUCAAGAGACCUGAGCCGGAUCGAGCUCUGCCCUGACCCUUGACCAAGGUGGCCUUCAGACCCUCGAGGCUCUGGCCUCUGAAGCUCGGACACGAGAAGUUUCUGGCUCUGCAACUGGGAGGUCAGCCUGCGGAAGAGGCAGGAGCGGGGGUGCAGAGCGGGCAGGUUCCUACUACUGAUGCCGGGAAAUGGUGCCUGGGCUAAAAUGAUUAAAGGAAGUCACCACCCCGCGAGACAGAGCUAAUUGAGAAGUUUGCUUAUUCCUAGUGGAAGAAAUGGGAUUAGUCUGAGAUAUCUGAAAAUUCACUGGAAAGAGACUGCCAAGUACCUUUUCAAAAUCGGUGGCUUUGGAAUUAAGUUAAGGACUUAAACUCUGUGAU
ensembl:lncRNA